rnacentral:rRNA from 1 species
CGAAAACCUUACCACCUUUGACAUGUACGGAAUCCUUUAGAGAUAGAGGAGUGCUCGAAAGAGAGCCGUAACACAGGUGCUGCAUGGCUGUCGUCAGCUCGUGUCGUGAGAUGUUGGGUUAAGUCCCGCAACGAGCGCAACCCUUGCCAUUAGUUGCUACGAAAGGGCACUCUAAUGGGACUGCCGGUGACAAACCGGAGGAAGGUGGGGAUGACGUCAAGUCCUCAUGGCCCUUAUAGGUGGGGCUACACACGUCAUACAAUGGCUGGUACAGAGGGUUGCCAACCCGCGAGGGGGAGCUAAUCCCAUAAAGCCAGUCGUAGUCCGGAUCGCAGUCUGCAACUCGACUGCGUGAAGUCGGAAUCGCUAGUAAUCGCGGAUCAGAAUGUCGCGGUGAAUACGUUCCCGGGUCUUGUACACACCGCCCGUCACACCAUGGGAGCGGGUUCUGCCAGAAGUAGGCAGCCUAACCGUAAGGAGGGCGCUUACCACGGCAGGGUUCGUGACUGGGGUGAAGUCGUAACAAGGUAGGCGUAGAUGA